rnacentral:rRNA from 1 species
GACGAACGCUGGCGGCGUGCCUAAUACAUGCAAGUUGAGCGAUGAAGAUUGGUGCUUGCACCAAUUUGAAGAGCAGCGAACGGGUGAGUAACGCGUGAGGAAUCUGCCUUUGAGCGGGGGACAACAUUUGGAAACGAAUGCUAAUACCGCAUAACAACUUUAAACAUAAGUUUUAAGUUUGAAAGAUGCAAUUGCAUCACUCAAAGAUGAUCCCGCGUUGUAUUAGCUAGUUGGUGAGGUAAAGGCUCACCAAGGCGAUGAUACAUAGCCGACCUGAGAGGGUGAUCGGCCACAUUGGGACUGAGACACGGCCCAAACUCCUACGGGAGGCAGCAGUAGGGAAUCUUCGGCAAUGGACGAAAGUCUGACCGAGCAACGCCGCGUGAGUGAAGAAGGUUUUCGGAUCGUAAAACUCUGUUGGUAGAGAAGAACGUUGGUGAGAGUGGAAAGCUCAUCAAGUGACGGUAACUACCCAGAAAGGGACGGCUAACUACGUG